CCUACGGGUGGCAGCAGUGGGGAAUAUUGGACAAUGGGCGAAAGCCUGAUCCAGCCAUGCCGCGUGUGUGAAGAAGGCCUUCGGGUUGUAAAGCACUUUCAGUGGGGAAGAAAGCCUUGGGGCUAAUACCCUCGAGGGAGGACAUCACCCACAGAAGAAGCACCGGCUAACUCCGUGCCAGCAGCCGCGGUAAUACGGAGGGUGCGAGCGUUAAUCGGAAUUACUGGGCGUAAAGCGCGCGUAGGCGGUCUGAUAAGCCGGUUGUGAAAGCCCCGGGCUCAACCUGGGAACGGCAUCCGGAACUGUCAGGCUAGAGUGCAGGAGAGGAAGGUAGAAGUCCCGGUGUAGCGGUGAAAUGCGUAGAGAUCGGGAGGAAUACCAGUGGCGAAGGCGGCCUUCUGGACUGACACUGACGCUGAGGUGCGAAAGCGUGGGUAGCAAACAGGAUUAGAUACCGGUAGUC
rnacentral:rRNA from 1 species